AGAGUUUGAUCCUGGCUCAGAUUGAACGCUGGCGGCGUGCUUAACACAUGCAAGUCGAACGAGAAAGUUCCUUCGGGAAUGAGUAGAGUGGCGCACGGGUGAGUAACGCGUGGAUAAUCUACCGGGGAGUGGGGAAUAACAGUUGGAAACGGCUGCUAAUACCGCAUACGCUGCAUAUAUGUCUAUGCAGGAAAGGGGGCCUCUGCAUAUGCUUCCGCUUUUCGAUGAGUCCGCGUCCCAUUAGCUUGUUGGCGGGGUAACGGCCACAAGGCGACGAUGGGUAGCUGGUCUGAGAGGAUGACCAGCCACACUGGGACUGGAACACGGCCCAGACUCCGUACGGGAGGCA
rnacentral:rRNA from 1 species